rnacentral:rRNA from 1 species
GCAAGUCGCACGAGAACGCUUCAGCUUGCUGAAGUUAGUAAAGUGGCGCACGGGUGAGUAACGCGUGGGUAAUCUACCCCUUGAAUUGGGGAUAACCCGCCGAAAGGCGGGCUAAUACCGAAUGACAUCUUGAAAACUUAUGUUUUCAAGAUCAAAGGUGGCCUCUACAUGUAAGCUAUUGUUUGGGGAUGAGCCCGCGUACCAUUAGCUUGUUGGUAGGGUAAUGGCCUACCAAGGCUACGAUGGUUAGCUGGUCUGAGAGGAUGAUCAGCCACACUGGAACUGACACACGGUCCAGACUCCUACGGGAGGCAGCAGUGAGGAAUUUUGCGCAAUGGGGGAAACCCUGACGCAGCAACGCCGCGUGAGUGAUGAAGGCUUUCGGGUCGUAAAGCUCUGUCAAGUGGGAAGAAAUCAUAUGGUGUUAAUACUGCCAUAUAUUGACGGUACCACUGAAGGAAGCACCGGCUAACUCCGUGCCAGCAGCCGCGGUAAUACGGGGGGUGCGAGCGUUAUUCGGAAUUACUGGGCGUAAAGAGCGCGUAGGCGGUCUUUUAAGUCAGGUGUGAAAGCCCGGGGCUCAACCCCGGAAGUGCACUUGAAACUAAGAGACUUGAGUAUGGGAGAGGGAAGUGGAAUUCCUGGUGUAGCGGUGAAAUGCGUAGAUAUCAGGAGGAACAUCGGUGGCGAAGGCGACUUCCUGGACCAAUACUGACGCUGAGGCGCGAAGGCGUGGGGAGCAAACAGGAUUAGAUACCCUGGUAGUCCACGCCGUAAACGAUGGGUACUAGGCGUCGGGGGGAGCGACCCCUUCGGUGCCGUCGCUAACGCAGUAAGUACCCCGCCUGGGGAGUACGGCCGCAAGGCUGAAACUCAAAGGAAUUGACGGGGGCCCGCACAAGCGGUGGAGCAUGUGGUUUAAUUCGAUGCAACGCGAAGAACCUUACCUGGGCCUGACAUGUACGUGAAAUCUGGUGGAAACACCGGCCCCUCUUCGGAGCACGUACACAGGUGCUGCAUGGCUGUCGUCAGCUCGUGUCGUGAGAUGUUGGGUUAAGUCCCGCAACGAGCGCAACCCUCGCUACCAGUUGCCAGCGGUUCGGCCGGGGACUCUGGGGGGACUGCCGGUGUCAAAUCGGAGGAAGGUGGGGACACGUCAAGUCAUCAUGGCCCUUACGUCCAGGGCGACACACGUGCUACAAUGGCCGGUACAGCGCGCUGCGAACCUGCGAGGGUAAGCGAAUCGCUGAAAGCCGGUCUCAGUUCGGAUUGCAGUCUGUAACUCGACUGCAUGAAGCCGGAAUCGCUAGUAAUCGCGGAUCAGCCAUGCCGCGGUGAAUACGUUCCCGGGCCUUGUACACACCGCCCGUCAAGCGAUGGAAGCUGGGGGUACCCGAAGCCGGUGGCCUAACCUUCGGGAGGGAGCCGUCUAAGGUAAACUCAGUGACUGGCGCUAAGUCGUAACAAGGUA